GUAGGUGAACCUGCGGAAGGAUCAUUACAACGUAUCCACGUAUAAACCUUUGUGAACCUGUUUAACCGCAUAAUUUGGAUGUCGAAAAUCACUGGUUAUCGGAAAAAAGCCAGUGGCCGCCCUUCCUCGCGAAGGGGGAUUCCAAGUUGUGUUUUCCGUUCCAUACAAACCACAUGUAACAUACAAUUGUACUGACGAGUGUAUGGCGAAAGCUGUAGACUUGAAACAUAUAAGAAAUUAUAGCACAACU
rnacentral:misc_RNA from 1 species